GAUGAACGCUGGCGGCGUGCUUAACACAUGCAAGUCGAACGGGAAACCUUUUAUUGAAGCUUCGGCAGAUUUAGCUGGUUUCUAGUGGCGGACGGGUGAGUAACGCGUGGGUAACCUGCCCUAUACAGGGGGAUAACAACCAGAAAUGGUUGCUAAUACCGCAUAAGCGCACAGGGCCGCAUGGUCCGGUGUGAAAAACUCCGGUGGUAUAGGAUGGACCCGCGUUGGAUUGGCCAGUUGGCAGGGUAACGGCCUACCAAAGCGACGAUCCAUAGCCGGCCUGAGAGGGUGAACGGCCACAUUGGGACUGAGACACGGCCCAGACUCCUACGGGAGGCAGCAGUGGGGAAUAUUGCACAAUGGGGGAAACCCUGAUGCAGCGACGCCGCGUGAAGGAAGAAGUAUCUCGGUAUGUAAACUUCUAUCAGCAGGGAAGAUAGUGACGGUACCUGACUAAGAAGCCCCGGCUAACUACGUG
rnacentral:rRNA from 1 species